rnacentral:rRNA from 1 species
GACGAACGCUGGCGGCGUGCUUAACACAUGCAAGUCGAGCGAUGAAGCUCCUUCGGGAGUGGAUUAGCGGCGGACGGGUGAGUAACACGUGGGCAACCUGCCUUGUAGAGAGGAAUAGCCAUUCGAAAGGAUGAUUAAUACCUCAUAAUAUUGUAGCUUCGCAUGAAGCAACAAUCAAAGGAGCAAUCCACUACAAGAUGGGCCCGCGGCGCAUUAGCUAGUUGGUGAGGUAACGGCUCACCAAGGCGACGAUGCGUAGCCGACCUGAGAGGGUGAUCGGCCACAGUGGGACUGAGACACGGCCCAGACUCCUACGGGAGGCAGCAGUGGGGAAUAUUGCACAAUGGGGAAACCCUGAUGCAGCAACGCCGCGUGAGUGAUGACGGUCUUCGGAUUGUAAAGCUCUGUCUUCAGGGACGAUAAUGACGGUACCUGAGGAGGAAGCCACGGCUAACUACGUGCCAGCCGCCGCCGUAAUAC